AUGAACGCUGGCGGCGUGCCUAAUACAUGCAAGUCGAGCGAACAGACGAGGAGCUUGCUCCUCUGACGUUAGCGGCGGACGGGUGAGUAACACGUGGAUAACCUACCUAUAAGACUGGGAUAACUUCGGGAAACCGGAGCCAAUACCGGAUAAUAUAUUGAACCGCAUGGUUCAAUAGUGAAAGACGGUUUUGCUGUCACUUAUAGAUGGAUCCGCGCCGCAUUAGCUAGUUGGUAAGGUAACGGCUUACCAAGGCAACGAUGCGUAGCCGACCUGAGAGGGUGAUCGGCCACACUGGAACUGAGACACGGUCCAGACUCCUACGGGAGGCAGCAGUAGGGAAUCUUCCGCAAUGGGCGAAAGCCUGACGGAGCAACGCCGCGUGAGUGAUGAAGGUCUUCGGAUCGUAAAACUCUGUUAUUAGGGAAGAACAAAUGUGUAAGUAACUAUGCACGUCUUGACGGUACCUAAUCAGAAAGCCACGGCUAACUACGUG
rnacentral:rRNA from 1 species